rnacentral:lncRNA from 1 species
AUGGGCUGCAACCUGAAGUUUGAAAAACAUGACUUAGUGGCAGAACAAGCUGCGAGCUUUCCUGAGAGCACCCAUCUCCGGCCGAGGCGAUCCAGAGGAAGCCCACUUAUAACCACCCCAAGUUAUCAUCUACCUCUGCUGUUCAUCAUCUACCUCUCCUACUACAAUGCAAGCUCCAUGAGGACAAGGACUUUGUCUGCCAGAUCUAGAAUAUGUGGCAUCUUUCCCAAGUCCUUAUUUUCAUCUUCCAAAAGAGAAAUUAAAAGCUGAAGUACUUAUCCGAGUGAGGAAAUAAUCACAAGGAUGAUCCCAUUAUUUCCUCUUUAUCAAGCAUCAACAGCACUUCAGCAGACAAACCAAGAAAAAUAAUUCUCUCUCCUGUUCUUGUCCCAUGGGGUCACGCUGUUUCAUGGCAUUGCCUUGUUCAUUUUUGCUCUCUUCCACACUGUAGCGAGGGGUUCAGGGUCAGGCUCAGGAAAGCUCAUCCUGCUGGAAUCCAUCCAUGGUCCUAUAGCACAUUACAUCCCCAAUAUAACACUUAACAAUCUAUGUGUGGUCAGAACUACUCCUACCUGUUUCUGGCUCCCAGCUCUAUUGGGAACUUUUGGAGAAAAAGACUUACUUCCUACCUCCAGUGUUCCCCCCUUCUCACUUUAGCUGACUCCUUUCAUUCUCAACUUAAACAUCGCUUCCUCAAGGAAGCCUUCCUCACGUGCUCAGACCAGACCCUCAUCGUCCUUUCUUAUAACCCCUGAGAUUUAUUGAUUGAUUCCACAAUGUCAAUGAACUACUUAAUUGUGUGAUUAUUUGUGUAAGACUGUCUCCCUUCCCAGGCUGUAAGAUCCAUGAGGGAGGUGCUAUAGAUUGAAUAUUUGUGUCCCCUCAAAGUUCAUUUGUUGAAAUUCUAACCCCCCAUGUAAUGGUGAAGGAGGCGGGUCCUUUGGGAAGUGAUUAGGUCAUGAAGGUGGUAUCCUCAUAAAGGGAAUUAGUGUCCUUAUAGAAAGACUCUGGGAGCUCCCUUCAGCCAUGUGAGGAUACAACGAGAAGACGACAUCUAUGAACCAAGAAGCUGGCUCUCACCAGGCACUGAAUCUACUGGUGCCUUGAUCUUGGACCUCCAGCCUCCAGAACUAUAAGAAAUAAAUUUAUAUUGUUUAUAAGCCA